GUCUGUAUGGAAGAAAUAUAAAGUCUAACCUGCCCACUGAGAUAUUAAAAGGCCGCGGUAUAUUAACCGUGCGAAGGUAGCAUAAUCAUUAGUCUUUUAAUUGAAGGCUGGAAUGAAUGGUUGAACAAAAAAUAGUCUGUCUCGUUGUUAAAAUUAAAAUUUGACCUUUAAGUAAAAAGGCUUAAAUAAUAUAGAAUGACGAUAAGACCCUAUAAAGCUUAAUAUUUAAAAAAUAAUUAAUAAUUAAAAUUUAAAAAUUGCUUAUUUUAAAAAAUAUUGUGUUGGGGCGACAAAAAUAAAAAUUGUAACUGUUUUCUAUUUAAAACUUAUAAUAAAAGAAAAAAUGAUCCUUUAAUAAAGAUUAAAAGAUUAAGUUACUUUAGGGAUAACAGCGUAAUCUUUUUUAAGAGUUCGUAUCGACAAAAAGACUUGCGACCUCGAUGUUGAAUUAAGAAAUCCUUUUGAAGCAGCAUUCAAAAAGGAAGGUCUGUUCGACCUUUAAAUUCUUACA
rnacentral:rRNA from 1 species